UCCCUGCUGGCUCAGAUGGUAAAGAAUCUGCCUACAAUGCAGGAGACCCAGGUUCGAUCCCUGGGUUGAGAA
rnacentral:tRNA from 1 species